GAAGAACGUAGCGAAAUGCGAUAAGUAAUGUGAAUUGCAGAAUUCAGUGAAUCAUCGAAUCUUUGAACGCACAUUGCGCCCGUCAGUAUUCUGGCGGGCAUGCCUGUUCGAGCGUCAUUACGCCCCUCAAGUCCCCUGUGGACUUGGUGUUGGGGAUCGGCGAGGCUGGUUUUCCAGCACAGCCGUCCCUUAAAUUAAUUGGCGGUCUCGCCGUGGCCCUCCUCUGCGCAGUAGUAAAACACUCGCAACAGGAGCCCGGCGCGGUCCACUGCCGUAAAACCCCCCAACUUUUUAUAGUUGACCUCGAAUCAGGUAGGACUACCCGCUGAACUUAAGCAUAUCAAUAAGCGGAGGA
rnacentral:misc_RNA from 1 species